rnacentral:rRNA from 1 species
GACGAACGCUGGCGGCGUGCCUAAUACAUGCAAGUCGAACGAACAGAUGGGAGCUUGCUCCCUGAUGUUAGUGGCGGACGGGUGAGUAACACGUGGGUAACCUGCCUGUAAGAUUGGGAUAACUUCGGGAAACCGAAGCUAAUACCGGAUAACAUAUGAAACCGCAUGGUUUCAUAUUGAAAGAUGGCUUUUGCUAUCACUUACAGAUGGACCCGGGGCGCAUUAGCUAGUUGGUGAGGUAACGGCUCACCAAGGCGACGAUGCGUAGCCGACCUGAGAGGGUGAUCGGCCACACUGGGACUGAGACACGGCCCAGACUCCUACGGGAGGCAGCAGUAGGGAAUCUUCCGCAAUGGACGAAAGUCUGACGGAGCAACGCCGCGUGAGCGAAGAAGGCCUUCGGGUCGUAAAGCUCUGUUGUUAGGGAAGAACAAGUACCGUUCGAAUAGGGCGGUACCUUGACGGUACCUGACGAGAAAGCCACGGCUAACUACGUGCCAGCAGCCGCCGUAAGAC